rnacentral:rRNA from 1 species
AUUGAACGCUGGCGGCAUGCCUUACACAUGCAAGUCGAACGCGUGGCGACCGGGGGAGUAAUACAUCGGAAAUUGCCCUGUAGUGGGGGAUAACUAGUCGAAAGACUCGCUAAUGCCGCACACUAUAGGAAAGGACGAUGUCUGAUUAGCUAGUUGGUGGGGUAAAGGCCAACCAAGGCGACGAUCAGUAGCUGGUCUGAGAGGACGAUCAGCCACACUGGGCCUGAGACACGGCCCAGACUCCUACGGGAGGCAGCAGUGGGGAAUUUGGGACAAUGGGGGCAACCCUGAUCCAGCAAUGCCGCGUGUGUGAAGAAGGCCUUCGAAUUGUAAAGCACUUUCGUCGUGGAAGCGGUACCGUAAGAAUAAAGACCGGCUAACAACGUGCCAGCAGCCGCGGUUAUAC